rnacentral:rRNA from 1 species
UUGACAUCAAAUCAGGUAG